CAGGCUGUGUACACUGUGUCCAUCUGUAUCCCCAGGCUGUGUACACUGUGUUACACGGUGUACACAGCCUGGGGAUACAGAUAGACACGGUGUACACAGCCUGG
rnacentral:pre_miRNA from 1 species